GAAAUAUACACUUCAGUUUCUCAUUUCGAUAUUUUCCAUGGAAAAUUCAGCAAAGAGUUGCUUUUCAAAAGGGAAAAUCGAUGGAAAUUUUCCUUGACGGUCCUGAAGGAGAAUAAACAAACUGAAAUGUGUACGAAAAGGACUAUGACAUGAUUUUCUCGUGGAAAUUAAUCUAAAUAUUUAAGAUAAGUCGAUGCGGUUGGAAAUCUAUGAGAGAUUAUCGUUGGGAAGAAGAAAGGAACCUGCUAAUUUCAAGUGAGUUAAAUUGCUCUUCGAAAUUGGCUGAAACUUUUCAUCUACUCGCAUCCCCAUAUUUGUAACUAUAAAUUCUUUGCUGGCCCAGAAUAAAC